CCCUGUUCUCAGGGCGGGGUGAAAUUCCCCACCGGCGGUAUGCGAGGGGCCUCCCUUCGUGAGCCCGCGAGCGGCUUUUGCGUUUUACGCCUCCACAGCCCGAAAAGUGGGAACCGGUUUUUGGACUGUGCUGUGGAGCAAACAAAAAAGUGUCAGCAGAUCUGGUGUGAUUCCAGAGCCGACGGUCAUAGUCCGGAUGGAAGAGAACGUGC
rnacentral:ncRNA from 2 species